rnacentral:rRNA from 1 species
CUACGUAGGGAGCGAGCGUUGUCCGGAAUUACUGGGUGUAAAGGGCGUGUAGGCGGGACGACAAGUCAGAUGUGAAAUACCGGGGCUCAACUCCGGGGCUGCAUUUGAAACUGCCGUUCUUGAGUGAUGGAGAGGGAAGCGGAAUUCCUAGUGUAGCGGUGAAAUGCGUUGAUAUUAGGAGGAACACCAGUGGCGAAGGCGGAUUUCUGGACAUUUACUGACGCUGAGGCGCGAAAGCGUGGGGAGCAAACAGGAUUAGAUACCCUGGUAGUCCACGCUGUAAACGAGGAUUACUAGGUGUGGGAGGUAUCGACUCCUUCCGUGCCGGAGUUAACACAAUAAGUAAUCCCCCUGGGGAGUACGGCCUCAAGGUGGAAACUCAAAUGAAUUGACGGGG